CCUACGGGGGGCAGCAGUGGGGAAUAUUGGACAAUGGGCGCAAGCCUGAUCCAGCCAUGCCGCGUGAGUGAUGAAGGCCUUAGGGUUGUAAAGCUCUUUCAGUGGGGAAGAUAAUGACGGUACCCACAGAAGAAGCCCCGGCUAACUUCGUGCCAGCAGCCGCGGUAAUACGAAGGGGGCUAGCGUUGUUCGGAUUUACUGGGCGUAAAGCGCACGUAGGCGGUUUGUUAAGUGAGAGGUGAAAUCCCAGAGCUCAACUCUGGAACUGCCUUUCAUACUGGCAAGCUAGAGUCCGGAAGAGGUAAGUGGAACUCCUAGUGUAGAGGUGGAAUUCGUAGAUAUUAGGAAGAACACCAGUGGCGAAGGCGGCUUACUGGUCCGGAACUGACGCUGAGGUGCGAAAGCGUGGGGAGCAAACAGGAUUAGAUACCC
rnacentral:rRNA from 1 species